UAAGAAUUAGAUCAAGCCAGGUGUCAUU
rnacentral:sRNA from 1 species